UGACUCUAAUCUGAGAAAGGUCUAAGAGU
rnacentral:piRNA from 1 species